GGUUGAGAAUCACUUGUGUAGUCUAUCAACUAAUGUAACAUAAUAUAGAAAAUUACAAAAAUUGUUUUUCUUCGUUCACGAACAACCCCGGAAGGAGGAGAGGAAGGAGCUGUUGCCCUAUCGUGUUGUACAACGAUGCCGCCACAAGUUGGCGAUUUAUACCGUUUCGUGGUGGCUGGCACAAACAAAAAAAGAACAAGUCUGUUGAAGAAUUUGAUUUCCGCGAUUAUUCCUCAGAAAUGACCACGAAACGGUAAGAAAACACUGGGUUUUCUUUUUGUUUGUUUUUUGUUUGUUCACGAACGACCCCGGAAGUGGUACAGGAAAAUAGCCGUUGCCCUAUCUUGUAGUACAAUGAUACCGCCACAAGAUGGCGGUUAAUACGGUGUCGUGAUGGCUAGCGAACAAAAACAAAAAAACGAGCCGUUGAAGAGUUUGGUUCCCGCAAAAAAAUCCCAGAAAUGACCACGAAACGGUAAGGAAACACUGUUGUUUAUUCGAAUCAUUUCAUGUUCGUUGUGGAAUAUGUCGUGUGGCUCUCAAGUUACUUGAACGGCGGUUGAGGGAGUUUAAGCUUCAAGUCAUUUUAGUGCAGGUGUGCUUAAUUGAAUGCAUUGUUCCACGAUGCCUUGUAUCUGCUGCUCCUGCUCCAUGUCAACUGCACCAUGUGGUUGACUUUCCGCCGUUGAAGGUACAAGUGAAUGCCAACCAAACCGGGAUUUUGCCGUAACAGUACAUGCUUUGACAUGUCAGUCGGGGGCAAAUGUUUUCAGCACAUCAGGAUGGACCAAGUGUCUUUUCCACAAAACAAUGGCAUGGGGAAAAUAAGGCGGAGAAUGCCAGGCUGUGUGAAAGGGGACAUCAGAGACAUUUUCCAUCGCCGUUGCCCCAUUUUGUGUGGACCAAACUGGCAAGCCUCUGGGACUUCCCGCCCACCGAGGGGAGGAGCCGCAGCUCGCCCCG